AAGGAGACGAGGCAGUAAACGUAAACAAAACUCGAUUGCAGCCACAGCAAUCAAAUUUUAUCGAACGUUUACUGUCUCGUCUCCUUGGAUAGAUUGCGUACACGUAUUUACAACGAUUUCAAACGAUCGAGAAUCGAUAGACGUUAGAAGAUAUCGCAUAGUACGAGGUAUCGAUGUUCCACGCAACGUCGCGCAUUCCAAGUCACGGAGUAGUCGUAAUGUUUGCUUUUCCUCGUUCGACGAAUUUCACGAGCGUCGUUUCUACUUGGAGACGGCGCGUAUGGAAAAAAGGCAACAAGGCUAGCAGCGAAGGUUGACCGAAAGUUCGAUCCCGACUUGAUUUUCAUCGGUUUACUCGAGCUAGUCGACGACGAAGCUACCUCCGUAUCGCAACAGUCUCUUCGACCGAGCUCCGAGAGACGAAGUUUGCUCUGUGACGAGAACGUGUCGCGGUGGUUGUCGGAAUUACGCGAGCCCGUAAAUCCAGUGAAAUACAGCUGAAACCGCGGAAGAGAACAACGAAACAAGUCGAUACGUGUGGAAUUUUACGAUGCCUCAUGGCCGUGUCGGGAAUCGACGAAGAAAACUGCCGCGUCGCAAUAGGGGGACCACGCAAGCACGCUGUUUUUAUAAUACACGUUAAAUAACUUUACGAGGCCUCAAGUAUCGUGGCAAAUUGAUUUCGUAACGACAAUCACGGAAUUAACGUACAAUAAAAGUAUCGUGAUGGCAAUUAAGCGGAGCACUUGUUUAACUGUGAACCGCUCACGAUGGUUCAGUCUCGCUUCGGAGCGCCGAAUGAAUGAUACGCAAACAGUAUUCGAUCACUUUAAUUUCGCCGUGACGUUCCGCUUGCUAUGGCGUCGAUCUUCUUCCCCGUCGCUUCGAUCGUCAAGAAUCCGAGUCGCGCCUUUUCGACUGGAAGGUUCUCGAGUCAAGAUACAAAACAGCGAUACAACGAUAUUUGAAUUUAGUUUUCAGCCCAGUUCUCAGCCUACCAACGAACACGUGUAACAGCGAAAGUUGUCUCAUAGCUUACAUAGAUAUCGAAAUGAAACGUCGUGACAGAAGCGAAUCAGAACGACGCUUCUCUCGUCUAACAGCGGGAUUUUGCACGCGCGUGGCGCUUGUGUAUACAACUAUUAAGUGCUUACAUUUAUGCCUCUCAUAAUUGGCUUCGUUAAAUGAAGAGAGUGACUGAGGAAUUAGCUUGCCGGUAAUAACCCGGCUAUUUAUUAACACGUGAAACGAGACGUUAUAGGUCUCGCGAACGAAUAUGCCUGACACACGAGGUGAACGUCUUCUUUGCAUUUUCUUCGUCCAUGUCACCUUGUCGCGGUGAUCCAAGACGGCGAAGACGAUACGCAGAACAAGAUAACGGCACAGAUUCAAAUCUCUCGACUUUGCACCCCUGAUUCUAAUUAUUAAUUAUCCCGAAGAGUGCGAGAGACUCAAGAAGCGGAA